UACGUAGGGUGCGAGCGUUAAUCGGAAUUACUGGGCGUAAAGCGUGCGCAGGCGGUUUUGCAAGCCGGAUGUGAAAUCCCCGGGCUUAACCUGGGAAUGGCAUUUGGGACUGCAAGGCUGGAGUGUGGCAGAGGAGACUGGAAUUCCUGGUGUAGCAGUGAAAUGCGUAGAUAUCAGGAGGAAUACCGAUGGCGAAGGCAGGUCUCUGGGCUGACACUGACGCUCAUGCACGAAAGCGUGGGGAGCAAACAGG
rnacentral:rRNA from 1 species